GCUUUCGGGCUUCGACCGGCGUACGGGUGCGUAACGCGUAUACAAUCUGCCUUUCACAUAGGGAUAGCCCGAAGAAAUUUGGAUUAAUACCUAAUGGUAUAUAGAUGUGGCAUCACCUUUAUGUUAAAGCUGAGGCGGUGAAAGAUGAGUAUGCGUGCUAUUAGCUAGUUGGAGAGGUAACGGCUCCCCAAGGGCUACGAUAGAUAGGGGUUCUGAGAGGGAUAUCCCCCACACUGGUACUGAGAUACGGACCAGACUCCUACGGGAGGCAGCAGUGAGGAAUAUUGGACAAUGGUCGGAAGACUGAUCCAGCCAUGCCGCGUGCAGGAAGACGGCCUUAUGGGUUGUAAACUGCUUUUGCAAGGGAAGAAUAAGGACUACGAGUAGUUUGAUGACGGUACUCUGCGAAUAAGCAUCGGCUAACUCCGUGCCAGCAGCCGCGGUAAUACGGAGGAUGCGAGCGUUAUCCGGAAUCAUUGGGUUUAAAGGGUCCGUAGGCGGGCUAAUAAGUCAGAGGUGAAAGCGCUCAGCUCAACUGAGCAACUGCCUUUGAAACUGUUAGUCUUGAAUGGUUGUGAAGUAGUUGGAAUGUGUAGUGUAGCGGUGAAAUGCUUAGAUAUUACACAGAACACCGAUAGCGAAGGCAUAUUACUAACAAUUAAUUGACGCUGAUGGACGAAAGCGUGGGGAGCGAACAGGAUUAGAUACCCUGGUAGUCCACGCUGUAAACGAUGGAUACUAGCUGUUUGGUUGUAAGACUGAGUGGCUAAGCGAAAGU
rnacentral:rRNA from 1 species